GUACGGGAGGCAGCAGUGGGGAAUAUUGGACAAUGGGGGCAACCCUGAUCCAGCGACGCCGCGUGUGUGAAGAAGGCCUGCGGGUUGUAAAGCACUUUUAGUGGGGAUGAAAUGUGCAGGGUUAAUACCUCUGCAUUUUGACCUAACCCACAGAAAAAGCACCGGCUAACUCUGUGCCAGCAGCCGCGGUAAUACAGAGGGUGCAAGCGUUAAUCGGAAUUACUGGGCGUAAAGCGUGCGCAGACGGUUGCGUAAGUCAGAUGUGAAAGCCCCGGGCUCAACCUGGGAAUUGCAUUUGAGACUGCGUAGCUAGGGUGCGGAAGAGGGAAGCGGAAUUUCCGGUGUAGCGGUGAAAUGCGUAGAUAUCGGAAGGAACACCAGUGGCGAAAGCGGCUUCCUGGUCCAGCACCGACGUUCAGGCACGAAAGCGUGGGGAGCAAACAGGAUUAGAUACCCCCGU
rnacentral:rRNA from 1 species